AUUGAACGCUGGCGGCAGGCCUAACACAUGCAAGUCGAGCGAGCGGCGGACGGGUGAGUAAUGUCUGGGAAACUGCCUGAUGGAGGGGGAUAACUACUGGAAACGGUAGCUAAUACCGCAUACCAUCAGAUGUGUCCAGAUGGGAUUAGCGAGUAGGUGGGGUAACGGCUCACCUAGGCGACGCUCCCUAGCUGGUCUGAGAGGAUGACCAGCCACACUGGAACUGAGACACGGUCCAGACUCCUACGGUAGGCAGCAGUGGGGAAUAUUGCACAAUGGGCGCAAGCCUGAUGCAGCCAUGCGGCGUGUGUGAAUAAGGCCUUCGGGUUGUAAAGCACUUUCAGCGGGGAGGCGUUACUCGCAGAAGAAGCACCGGCUAACUCCGUGCCAGCAGCCGCGGUAAUAC
rnacentral:rRNA from 1 species